GGACUCUGGGAUAACAGCUGGAAACAGCUGCUAAUACCGGAUACGAGCUGCGAAGGCAUCUUCAGCAGCUGGAAAGAAUUUCGGUCCGGGAUGGGCUCACGGCCUAUCAGCUAGUUGGUGAGGUAACGGCUCACCAAGGCGUCGACGGGUAGCCGGCCUGAGAGGGUGACCGGCCACACUGGGACUGAGACACGGCCCAGACUCCUACGGGAGGCAGCAGUGGGGAAUAUUGCACAAUGGGCGCAAGCCUGAUGCAGCAACGCCGCGUGAGGGACGACGGCCUUCGGGUUGUNAACCUCUUUUAGCAGGGAAGAAGCGAAAGUGACGGUACCUGCAGAAAAAGCGCCGGCUAACUACGUGCCAGCAGCCGCGGUAAUACGUAGGGCGCAAGCGUUAUCCGGAAUUAUUGGGCGUAAAGAGCUCGUAGGCGGGUCUGUCGCGUCUGCUGUGAAAACCCGAGGCUCAACCUCGGGCCUGCAGUGGGUACGGGCAGA
rnacentral:rRNA from 1 species